CCCAGACUCCUACGGGAGGCAGCAGUGGGGAAUAUUGGGCAAUGGGCGCAAGCCUGACCCAGCAACGCCGCGUGAAGGAAGAAGGCUUUCGGGUUGUAAACUUCUUUUAACAGGGAAGAGCAGAAGACGGUACCUGUUGAAUAAGUCACGGCUAACUACGUGCCAGCAGCCGCGGUAAUACGUAGGUGGCAAGCGUUGUCCGGAUUUACUGGGUGUAAAGGGCGUGCAGCCGGGUUUAUAAGUCAGAUGUGAAAUCCCGCGGCUCAACCGCGGAACUGCAUUUGAAACUGUAGAUCUUGAGUACUGGAGAGGCAGGCGGAAUUCCUAGUGUAGCGGUGAAAUGCGUAGAUAUUAGGAGGAACACCAGUGGCGAAGGCGGCCUGCUGGACAGCAACUGACGGUGAGGCGCGAAAGCGUGGGGAGCAAACAGGAUUAGAUACCCGGGUA
rnacentral:rRNA from 1 species